CUGGGCAACAGAGCGAGACUCUGUCUCAAAAAAAAAAGAAGCUCUAAAAGCCUCAGGAGCUCUAAAAGCCACACUAUUCUCUGUAUUGAAGCAUGGAAAAUAGCUUUGUGAUGGCAAGUGGGGGAUUUGGCUGAAGGAGUGAGCAGGAUAAAGACCUCAGAAGACCUCACACACCAUCUAAGGCACUCAGACUGGAGGAUCCUGAUGAUAACAGGGAGUCAGUACAAACGCAGAAUCAAGAAAGAGACACAGAAGAUGCUAUUAGAAGGAUCAUGGGUUGAAGAGGGUAGGACCAGAGGCGGAGACCAAUUAGGAGGCUGUUUGAACAGCCUAGAAGGGAGAUGACCUGGCCUGAAGAGCAAUGACAGCUGGAACAGUGAAUAGAAGCCACAUAGACUCUUCCGAGGAGUACCCAUGUGUCACUUCUGGGACAGGCAGCCUCACUCCUGCCAGGGCCGUGCAGGGCAGUCCACAGGCCAAAGGUCCAAGUAGAUUCAGCGCUGCUGAGUUGCUUCUGGGAACCCACCAGUCUCCAAGCAACUUGACUUCAUUAUGCAGAUCCAGCAAGACACAGAGACAUUUUUGAAUCCACAAAUAACUUCUAUCUAGGACCAGUGAUGACCCAGCUUCAAGCAUGCAGCAGAUGAGGACAAUGCUCCAGAGGAUGGAGAAGCAACAUGAUACGAGGAAUCUGUGUCCCUGAAUGACCAUUUGGUGCACAGCUGCCCCAAUGACCUGGAUCACUCACUUCAGACAGGUUAAUUCCCUUCAGAGCUGUUACGUGAGAAAGAAUAAACUUCUUUGUUCUUUAA
rnacentral:lncRNA from 1 species